GACAGAGGUCUCAAGCGUUGUUCGGAUUCAUUGGGCGUAAAGGGUGCGUAGGCGGCGCGGUAAGUCGGGUGUGAAAUCUCGGGGCUUAACUCCGAAACUGCAUUCGAUACUGCCGUGCUUGAGGACUGGAGAGGAGACUGGAAUUUACGGUGUAGCGGUGAAAUGCGUAGAUAUCGUAAGGAAGACCAGUGGCGAAGGCGGGUCUCUGGACAGUUCCUGACGCUGAGGCACGAAGGCCAGGGGAGCAAACGGG
rnacentral:rRNA from 1 species